rnacentral:misc_RNA from 1 species
GACAGAGGGUGCAAGCGUUGUUCGGAAUCAUUGGGCGUAAAGCGCGCGUAGGCGGUUUGGUGUGUCGGAUGUGAAAGCCCACGGCUCAACCGUGGAAGUGCAUCCGAAACUACCUGACUUGAGUCCCGGAGAGGGUGGCGGAAUUCCUGGUGUAGAGGUGAAAUUCGUAGAUAUCAGGAGGAACAUCCGUGGCGAAGGCGGCCACCUGGACGGAGACUGACGCUGAGGUGCGAAAGCGUGGGGAGCAAACAGG